UACAGAGGGUGCGAGCGUUGUCCGGAAUCACUGGGCGUAAAGGGCGCGUAGGUGGCGGCAUAAGGCUGUGGUGAAAGUCUGGGGCUCAACUCCAGAUCGGCCGCGGCGACUGUGUCGCUUGGGCACCGUAGAGGCAGAUGGAAUUCCGGGUGUAGCGGUGGAAUGCGUAGAGAUCCGGAAGAACACCAGUGGCGAAGGCGGUCUGCUGGGCGGUGAGCUCGCGAGAGCUCAAUAGCCGACACUGAGGCGCGACAGCGUGGGGAGCAAACAGG
rnacentral:rRNA from 1 species